rnacentral:lncRNA from 1 species
UAUUGCGUUCCCAAAUAUCAACAGUAAACACAUCAAGAACUGAUGAGAUACAUCAUCAUCACUUAUCUUCUCACCUAAGGCCUUCAAAUUAUUUACAUUACUUGCAAUCUAUGGAACAUCUUCGGAAUGCUCUCAUCAUCCUUAAGCUUGAAGCUUGUCAACUUAUCUUUGAGAAUAUACAAUUUUACACUCUUGACCCGCCGGUGUGCCCUCAUAUGUUUUCUCCAAUCUCUUCCACACUUCACUUGCUCUAUCACAAUCCUUGAUUUUCUCAAACACCUUUGAAUCAAUUGCAUUAUAUAUAGUCUUAAGAGCCAUAGUGUUGCAUUGUUUGUUUGCUUUGUCUUGGUUGGUGAGAUUAGUGGGAUCAAGAAUCACAAAAUCACUCUCGGUCACAUCCCACACUUGAUCCUUGAUUGAACCCAAAUACAUUUCUCUUCCAAUAAUCAUAGCAUGUACCAUCAAACAACGGUGGUUUGCCUCCCACAUGGUUGAACACAAUUUAAGCCAUCUUUUGACACCGAAGGUUGUUAAGCCUUGAUUAAACGGUGACCACGGCUCCGAUACCACUUGAAAGGUCCUAAUAUGACUAGAAGGGGUGAAUAGCCUAUUUAAAAAGUCUACAAAGCACUAGAGCAAAGUAUUAAUAUAACAAAAGAUGUAAAGCAAUUUUGCUCUAGCUCUACAAGGGUUGUAAGCCACCUAUCCAAUAAUUCU